AAAAAGGGUCCGGACGGGACGGGACGGGACACGGGGAGCCCGGCCCGCGGGCGGUGAGGGCUCGGGGCCCGGCGGUGGAGGGGCCUGGCGGCUGAGGGGUUCGGUGCGGCCCCGGGGGUGAAGCUGCCAGACCCAGCCUGGCUUGGGGAAGAGCAUCCAUCGGCUUUUUCUUAAAAGAAAUAUUAAAAAAGGGAGAACCGAGACCACCACAUGUGCUCCAAGUCGCUUAUUGUUGCUCAUUCUGGACGUUUUGUGGAAUGGCCAGCAGAGUAUUCCAGUAUUCCUGCCAGAAGCGGCCUCCCGUCACUCUCCAGCCCAGCGAAGGACACAGAGGCCCCACGUGCCGUCCGUCACCAAAGUCCGGACAAGGCUCAGUUUCUCUGCACAGAGAGAACUUUCUGUCCCGUCACGCUUGCUUUCUGUCCUGCCGUGAAAGCAGUCGGUCUUCAAACGAGUAAAAACUCGUGACGUGGCUGUGCUCCUUCCUGGUUCAGAUGUACAUUGGGUAUAUCAAGUAUCCUGCUGUCAUGCUGCCUGUCUCACCGAUUUCCUGUUCUUCCCCCAAAUUUCUUUCUGAACAGCACAGUCUCUCCUUCUCAAUCCAUGCUACUUCCACCUGCUUUCAUUUUACUCUGCAUUUUCAUCUCCUACCCUGCUCCUAACCCCACUCUGUCUUUUAACUCUACAACCCCAACACCUCCAUAUUUUUCACUAUCUUCCCUUCUUCCUGCUAAAGGCUUUAAGUUCAGUUCCCUCUUUGCUCUCUCCUCCCCAGUCACCGUUCCAUGAAUAAAUUUACAAUCUGCCCCCAGUUUCCCUGCUGCACCCCACAUCAUGCCACAGCCCCUGUGCACCUGCCCUGAUCCUGCAAUCCCUGUACAUUCAUGGUGGUGAAGUACCUCUGUAGUCUGUUUUGAAGGCCAGGAGGGCCUACAAUCCAGAAAGCCAAGCACCGAGCUGCAAAGAAAGGCUGAAGCGAACAGUAAGUGCUGAAAGGAGAAAAUGCCAGCCUCAUUCCCUGCACCACCCCCAUGCCAAUUGUGUGAUGCCUCCACUUCUCCCCCUGGCGUGUUUGUACACACUUCUCCCCCUGUAUUCUGCCUACUUGCUUCACUUCCAUUACUCCCUUGCCUAAGUGCAGCUUGAUAACCACAGUGCCUACUGAGAGUGUAACCCAGAUCCACCCUGCCUGAAAAGAUGUGGGCGUCUUCAUGAGAAGCGAACAAUACCUUUGUAUGGAGAAACUGAGUAACAUUUUGGCUGAAGAGAGCCAAUGGCUUCCCAGCUUCUGCAAGCAGGGCAAGAGUCAGCGGCCUUGCAAAGUUUGCAAGAAACACCGCAGAUGAAACAAAGCUGACAAGAAAUCUGCAAAUGUCAUAGAACUCCCUACAAAAGAGUGAAAGGGGCACCUCCAAGGCAGUGCAGGGGCGAAGCUGUCCCUGUCUGUACACCUUUUCACAGCAGCAGUGGACAGAGUGGGGCAAUGGGUCACAUGUGUCCCACUGCUGUAUUUUAGCACCAGCAUUUUUAGAUGCAAGCAGCAAUUGUCUCACCACGGUGCAAAAUACAGACCAUCAGCUGCUCUUAGCUGAUGCUACCCUUCAGUUUCUAGAAGAGCUCUGGAGCAAGUUGUCAUGCAAGAUGCUAACUCUGCUGGCUGGCAAUAUCUUGUCCCCUUGCCUCACCCUGAGCACUAUACUGCUGUUUUGACCCAUGUUCAGCUUUAUCCUUUUACUGGUAGACUCACCUUCAAGAUGAGGAGCUCCUUUCCACGCAUCUGGUAAAACACAAACUGCAAAUAAGGCUUUUUGGAGCACCCAGAAGAUUCGGACUCAGUUCUUGGUCUUGCAAGACCUUGGGCUACUCACCUCAUCUCUCCACACUUCAGUUACAAAUUGGCUUAAUAACCCUUCCUGCCCCUGUUAAGCAUUAUUCACAUGAAAGUCCCCUGAAUGCACAUGUUAGUCCUACACAUGUUGGGGAGCUCCCCAGCAAACAACUCUGAAACAAUCCUGGAGCCUGUGGCAGACAAACAGAAUUAUUUAUUCUAUAUAACAGUAAUUAUAUACUGCUUUCUUGCCUUAAUGCCAGUACCUAUUCUAAAUGAGGCAGGAUGGGUAAAAGCCUUGACGCUCUUGGAAUCACAUUAUAAUAUGCUAGCAUGUGCAACAGUACUUAAAAAAUGUACCUGCUUAUAUCCUUCGGUGGGGAUUUUGCUGAUUAUCUCCCCUUCAAAAGUAGCAAAUAUGGUAAAGGUUAAGGCACCCAUGCUUCCAUGGAUGAGCAUGCGACAACUCCAGCCGGGUAAGGACAGAGGCGCCUAUCAGACAAUCUGAAGGUCCUUUACAAGGUCACGGCCACCAGUCAAAAAUAUUCUUAUCACCUCUGCAUUAACUUGGUAGUUAAUAACCUAUACUGCCCUUGUUUUGAGCAGCAUUUUUCUUCAAAUCCGUGCAUUGUUACUCCACAGGUAGAGUAAGAAAGAGAGAUUUUAUUGAGGUUUACAAAGUUCUCAUGGAGAUGGAUCCCUCUGUCCCUGAGGGAAGAGCCUGCCAUAAUCAGGUUUCUCAUUCUUCCUCUCCCAUGUGGCAGAAUAAUCUAUAGGUGAGGCUCGGUGUAGGGCUGCAAGGAAAAAAAUGUCGACAUGAGCGUUUUCCUUUUGGGUAAAUGCAAGCUGAGAAAUGAAAAUUUACUUACCCAAGGUCACUCAAGGUCAGAGGCAGGCAAGGGAUUAGAGACCCAGAUCUCAUAACUAAUUAGGCCACAGUAUAAGCCACAGUGAGAACAAGGAAGAAAAAACAUAACUUUUCCCAACAUGAUACCGUAAUACGACAAAAUUUGUACCUGAAAGCAGCAGAACCCUGUGAAAUAGGGAGGAGAUGCUUGUGUAGCCGUGUGCGUUUCCUCUCCCUGCCACUGCAGGAGAGCUCAGUACCUGGAGAGGAGCAGGACAAGUGCAGAUAAUGAACCGAGUUCAGUCAUCCUAGAGGUGACGUAAGUGGUAAAAAUGUUAGGUUAGGAGCCGCUUGGUCCAUUAAUAUACGUAAAAUCUUUCACCCCUUUGCAGGCUACUUGAAGUGAUGGUUUUGCUCGUAUCAGUGCUAUUCCCACCAGACUACAGCCACUUGAAUAUGUGGUCUCCUCAACACUUUGCUUGGGCUUAUUAGCGAGGCUGAGCAUCCUACUGCAUGAAACACUGAACCCUCGUUGUCUUCAUUAAUCUGCUCGAUGAUUCUGCUUCACGUCUGGAGGUAAGAUACGCUGUCAUCAGAGCAGUCUAUAACUUACAUAAAUCAGUUGGCUGGAUCAGUCCAGUCAUCGUAAGACAAAUAUGACACUGUGACCGCUCACACACUCAAAUGAACCUUAUACACGGGUGCACAUCAGGGUCUCCCACUACACUUUCCCUUCUAACUGCUGCUGUUAUGCCUCCUCUCGCUCAGCCAUCGUUCGAUGUGACGUAGAGCUGCUUACUGGCUGUGUUCAGCAAGCUCUGUGAGGAAAGCUUUUAAACUGAAACAGAGGAAAGCAGCCUUGCUAUUUUCUGAUUUAUAAGGAAAAACCUGAAAGAAGCUUGCCUACCGACCUUACUCUGUUUUGUUUUGGAUCCUGUGCCAAGGACAGCUGUUCUGCCAUCAUAACGGACCAGAAGACACAACGAUUCUGGGAUUCCUGUGGAUGGAUGCUAGACAGGACAUGGUAUUUCCACAUAAAUACUGCUUGUAAACGUAAUCCUCUUUCCUUCCAAAUACCCAGGCCUACUGAUGGUGUCGUGCAGUCCAGCCUGAAGCACCCAAGGCACUGAGUAUCAGCACAAACAAACUUGGAGUCACCAGGAAAAUCAGAUGGCUUUGCUUGUUGGUGUCCUUUGGAGUACAAGCAUCCCACUGAAAGAGAUAUCCCACUGGGCUUGAUGUGUCACCAGGGACAUCCCUCCUCUGGGGAGUUUAUUGGGUGUUGGGGCUAAACUGAACUGAGCACAACCACAUGUGCCAUAUGAUGCUCAUCACCAGUUUAAACUUCUAUUAGAAAUCCUCUUUUGUGGAGGUUGGACACUGCUGGGAUGCGCAGUGUCAUCUGGUGGCACCCCUGUGUUUGCAUACACGUACCCUGAUACCGCUGCCUUCUCCCCAGCCCGUCUGUAACAUCUGUUGCAUGCUCCCAAAACCUCUUUGGAAGCCAGACAGAUGUCGUGGGGAAUUUAAGCUGAUCAGCACUCGCACACAGUCAGACAUAAGCAAGCAGGCAUUGCACAGAGUGCUAGAACUGUGUUGCUCUUUUCCUUACACCAGCAAAUGUACCCAGGCUUCAGGAAAAAAAAAAAAGAAAAAAAAAAAACCAAAC